rnacentral:piRNA from 1 species
CAAGAAUAGAAUGGACUACUUGGAAAAUU